AGUGAACGCUGGCGGUAGGCCUAACACAUGCAAGUCGAACGGCAGCACAGUAAGAGCUUGCUCUUACGGGUGGCGAGUGGCGGACGGGUGAGGCAUACAUCGGAUUCUACUUUUUCGUGGGGGACAACGUAGGGAAACUUACGCUAAUACCGCAUACGACCUACGGGUGGAAGCAGGGGAUCUUCGGACCUUGCGCGAUUCAUUUAGCCGAUGUCGGAUUAGCUAGUUGGCGGGGUAAAGGCCCACCAAGGCGACGAUCCGUAGCUGGUCUGAGAGGAUGAUCGGCCACACUGGAACUGAGACACGGUCCAGACUCCUACGGGAGGCAGCAGUGGGGAAUAUUGGGCAAUGGGCGAAAGCCUGAUCCAGCAAUGCCGCGUGAGUGAAGAAGGCCUUCGGGUUGUAAAGCCCUUUUGUUGGGAAAGAAAAGCAGCAGGUUAAUACCCCGCUGUUCUGACGGUACCCAAAGAAUAAGCACCGGCUAACUUCGUG
rnacentral:rRNA from 1 species